AGAAUGAACGCUGGCGGCGUGCUUAACACAUGCAAGUCGAACGAGGCUCAACCAGUGGCAACACUGGUGAAGGCCUAGUGGCGAACGGGUGAGUAACACGUGAGGAACCUGCCCCGAAGACCGGGAUAACCCUCCGAAAGGAGAGCUAAUACCGGAUACCCCCACCGAAUCGCAUGGUUUGGUGAGGAAAUGGAUUCCGCUUCGGGAGGGCCUCGCGGCCUAUCAGCUUGUUGGUGGGGUAACGGCCCACCAAGGCAUCGACGGGUAGCUGGUCUGAGAGGACGAUCAGCCACACUGGGACUGAGACACGGCCCAGACUCCUACGGGAGGCAGCAGUAGGGAAUCUUGCGCAAUGGGCGAAAGCCUGACGCAGCAACGCCGCGUGGGGAUGAAGGCUCUCGGGUUGUAAACCCUUUCAGUAGGGACGAAUCAAGACGGUACCUACAGAAGAAGCUCCGGCUAACUACGUGCCAGCAGCCGC
rnacentral:rRNA from 1 species